UACAGGAGGUGGCAAGCGUUGUUCGGAAUUACUGGGCGUAAAGGGCGCGUAGGCGGCCUGGCAAGUGGAUGGUGAAAUCCCUCGGCUUAACCGAGGAACUGCCAUCCAGACUGCUUGGCUUGAGACCGGGAGAGGUGAGUGGAAUUCCCAGUGUAGCGGUGAAAUGCGUAGAUAUUGGGAGGAACACCAGUGGCGAAGGCGGCUCACUGGACCGGUACUGACGCUGAGGCGCGAAAGCGUGGGGAGCAACGGGG
rnacentral:rRNA from 1 species